rnacentral:rRNA from 1 species
UACGUAGGGGGCAAGCGUUGUCCGGAAUCAUUGGGCGUAAAGCGCGUGUAGGCGGUUCGGUAAGUCGGCUGUGAAAGUCCAGGGCUCAACCCUGGGAUGCCGGUCGAUACUGCCGGACUAGAGUUCGGAAGAGGCGAGUGGAAUUCCCGGUGUAGCGGUGAAAUGCGCAGAUAUCGGGAGGAACACCAAUGGCGAAGGCAGCUCGCUGGGACGUUACUGACGCUGAGACGCGAAAGCGUGGGGGAGCAAACAGG